GAAUUCAAACAUACUGAAUCGAUUGAUUGGCUCAUUGGUCUGAAGAAGCUGGCUGGCUCGUUUUCCCUGGAAAUAAUUGUGGGAGUGGUCCUCCUUCCUCAUGAUUUUCUGAAGAAGUGUUCUGACAUCUCUGAAGCGGUCCUCCUCGUUGUCAUAGAUGCUGGCCUGGAUGUCUCCAUUGGACAUUCUCGGACGACUCCUUCCCUCCACUGGUCGGCCUCCAGGCAUUACUCCCUCUAGAAAAAGUGAAGUCAGGAAAAACUUAGGAACUUUUCACAUGGGAAAGAUCACGCAUUAUAGCUGUGUGCUUAAUGUCUUCACUUUAUAAAUUUACUAAUUUACUGCAGGUCAGAGUUCAUUAAUAACAGAUCAGCAUGGAAGACUUUUUCUUCUGAGAGAAUCACAGCCAUUCAAAAUUAUCACAAGUAUUUGAAUAUGCUUGUGCACAAAUAAAACUUGUUUAGUAUAUAUCAACAUGUAACAUUAUAAUCAAUAGGAUAAAUAAAUAUCUUGUUAAUAAC